GUGCAGCAGCCGCGGUAAUACCGGCAGCCCGAGUGAUGGCCGAUAUUAUUGGGCCUAAAGCGUCCGUAGCUGGCCAGACAAGUCCGUUGGGAAAUCCACCCGCUUAACGGGUGGGCGUCCAGCGGAAACUGUCCGGCUUGGAGCCGGAAGACCUGAGGGGUACGUCCGGGGUAGAAGUGAAAUCCCGUAAUCCCGGACGGACCGCCGGUGGCGAAAGCGCCUCAGGAGGACGGACUCGACAGUAAGGGACGAAAGCCAGGGUCUCGAACCGGAUUAGAAACCCUAGUAGUCC
rnacentral:rRNA from 1 species